rnacentral:rRNA from 1 species
UACGUAGGGUGCAGGCGUUAAUCGGAAUUACUGGGCGUAAAGCGUGCGCAGGCGGUUUGCUAAGACAGGUGUGAAAUCCCCGGGCUUAACCUGGGAACUGCGCUUGUUACUGGCAGGCUUGAGUGUGGCAGAGGGGGGUGGAAUUCCGCGUGUAGCAGUGAAAUGCGUAGAGAUGCGGAGGAACACCGAUGGCGAAGGCAGCCCCCUGGGCUGACACUGACGCUCAGGCACGAAAGCGUGGGGAGCAAACAGG